GCUUCACGCCACUCAUAGCUGCUGUGGUGAAGGACAAUGUGCAGGUAGCGGCGAUCCUGCUCACGAAGGCGAACGUGAAUGCCAGCGACUAGUGGACCAGAAAUGCUCUCUUCCAUGCCAUAGUAUGUCAAUCAAAAAAUAUGAUCCACCUUCUUCUUGAGCAUGGUGGUGUGAUGAUGAUUUGGUAGACAGUUCUGGACAUACUCUGCAUUACUACAUUUUAACGGAUAGCCUUAACAAGACGGCUAAAAGCCACUCACAGCUGCUGUGGUGAAGGACAGUGUGCAGGUAGCGGCGAUCCUGCUCACGAAGGCGAACAUGAAUGCCAGCGAUGAGUGCAAGAG